UUUUUUUUGCUAAAAAUUACUUGUUUAUAACAGCUCUUUGAUGAUGCACCAUCCAUCCCGUAUUUGCCAACAAGUUUCAUAACUUCACCGUUGUCAUUUAUAUCUGCCACUCUCAUGAUUUUUUCAGCUGUUAAAUCCAAAAUUGGUUGUAGUUUUAUCUGUGCUCCUGAUUCAGUGAUAGUUAUUUCUUCUGGUGGCGGAUAGCAUUCCUUCUUCUUCACAAUUAACUUUUGAUAAGAAGCAAAAGUCACUAUAUCCUUGUCGAUUAAAAAGGUCCUUAACGCCAAAUACUGCCAUUUCGAUGAGUUUAACGCCGUCACAAGAGCCAGAGUCUCAUCCUCACGAACAGUUUUUUUUUUAUUGAAGGAUGUGAAUAAAAAACCGUUGACAUCUUUUACUUUUCUGGAGUCUCUGGAUAAGUAUUCUAUAUUCUUAGCGAAAUCGAUUUUGUUGUUUCCCUUCAGCUUUCCGACGAACGCAUACAGCAACUCUUCUUCAUCAUGUUCUAAUAAGGGGACCGUUCAUAUUUUCUUUUGUUUAAUGCCCAAAUCUGUAAAGGUUUUCCUUGUUCGUCGAGUAUUAGUACUCAUAUCUGAUGUAGAUGAUCCAGCUUCUUGAGUAAGCGAACUUAGUUGUUGUUCUUCAACGUCCAUUAUUUACGGAAUUAAUAUUGUAGCAAAGUCCAAAGUUUCACUUAUCGGCCAUGAAAUAUUGGCUUCUAGCCAUGUUUUAUUUUACUUUUUUUAAUCUGCAUUCGUUCCUGAUUGAAUUUGGCCAUCUUCUGUACAAGUUCGCGGUAUAGUUACGGCCAAGGCAUAUUAAACUGGUAGAAGCGGAAGAGUUGCAAAUUCGAUUUUUUCAUUUUCACGUAUAAGCUAAAUUGUCAAACUAUGUUUACAUCUGAUGAAAACAAACUGAAUUGUCACAAUUUGCUUUCACGUGGUUUGUGCCAGUUUGCGGUUAAUUUAUAAUUAUCUAAUCUUGCUAUUUAGUGCGAUUUAGUGCGAUAUACUAUAUACGAUACUGUGUUUUGUGGGAAGUGUUUUGAUUAAAUCAAAGAUGGGAAAGUGCGUUCUCUGCAACAAAAAGCGUGUAGAGGGUAGAGUUCCCUUUUUUAUGGUCCCGCAGGAGCCACGUCGGGUGGCUGAUUAGAACAGAGCAUGUGGCAUCACGUUCACAGCAAAGCAUGUAGUUUGCGGGGAGCAUUUCGCGAGCUCCGAUUUGAUUGGUGGCGCACAACGAACGCACUUGAUGCCCAACUCUGUUCAAACACUCUUUAUAAAACCACCUUUGUAAGUAUGCUUUAAGAUCAGAGCCUUAGAAUAUAUAUGCAUGUAGGUGGUAAAAUUGAAAUAUUUUAGUUGUGGAAGUGACGGUGGAAAAAAUAUGUGAACCAAUUGGUUACUUAAGUCAUCCCAUAAGUGAAACAAUUAUAUCAGAAGUGGUAGAAAGUGGUUCCGUAGGAACCAAUGCUCAAUGUGUGGCACAUUCUAGUUGCCACACGCAAACUUAGUAAGUUGUUUAAUGCCAUACAUAUAUAUGCAUAUACUUUUCUACGCAGUUUUCUUCUUCCACAAAACAAAUUAAACACCUUCUGUAAAUUUGCUUUUAGAUUUUAUUUGUUUUGUAGACAAAAACGUUAGAUGGUCGUGGAGCGAUAUUUCCAGCGCCAUAUGUAUUCACGCUGCCGGACCCCGAGCAUAUAGGCACCUGUAUACGAAAGGCUUCCCCCUGCCACAUAUAAGCACACUUCAAAGGUGGUACCGUAAAAUUAAAGUUGGUGAGGGAAUGUUAUCCGUUGCAUUGGACUUAAUGCGCCACAUUCACGAGCUCACUGCCGUCGAGUUUGUGUGCUGGCUUUCGACGAGAUGAAGGUCACCGAAGCUUUUGAGUAUGAGCCUACCGACGACUUCGUCAGGAAGCCGGCAAAUUAUGUUCAAGUGGUUAUGGCGCGCGGAUUAUUAAAAUCCUGGAAGCAGCCAGUAUUUUACGAUUUUGAUUGUAAAAUAACCGUCGAACUUUUGCAUACAAUUAUUUCGGCUGUGCAAAAUGCUGGCUUCCCUGUUCUUGCGAUGGUCUGCGAUAUGGGCCCAUCCAACCAAAAGCUUUGGAGAGACCUCGGCAUCACUCCAGGUAUAUAUUUAAUUCACUAAUACAUUUUCUAAAGCUAGUUAUCAAUUAAUUAGAACACCCAUGGUUCACCAACCCUACUGAUCCAGAGGCGAAGGUUUUCGCAUUUGCGGAUGCUCCGCAUCUGUUGAAACUCAUCUGAAAUCAUUUUAUUGAUAGUGGAUUUGUUUGGAAAGACCGCAUAAUAACCACGCGCGCAAUAGUUGAUGUUAUGAGGUACACAUCUGUAUCCGACCUAUCUAUAACAUUCAAGUUAACAGAAGAGCACUUAGCUGUAAAAGGGAUAGGCAGACAAAAGGUAAAAUUCGCGACACAGUUGCUUUCUAACACGACUGCAAAAGCCAUACUGCGCUGCUACGCUCUGGGGUUGGACAUAGAAGAAGCGAUUGAGACAGCUGAACUAACUCAGUUGGUGAACGAUUGGUACGACGUUCUCAAUUCCUCCGUUAAAACGUUCAAUUAUCCUGGAAAGGAACCAUUUGGACGGAAGAGGCAGCGGCAGCUCGAGAUUUUGGGACGCAUGAAUAAUUUCAUAUCAGAUGUUAUCAUCCCUCGCAAAAAUAGCUUACAACAAUUUCAAAGGGGUGUUUUGGUAACAAAUAACGCAGUGCUACAGUUGUACGAGUAUGUGGUAGUGAUUUGCUGGAGCACUUCUUCGGAAAUAUACGAAGCAAGGGAUGAUUAAACGACCACCCUACGCCGAAGGAGUUUAUGUACAGGCUCUGAAAAUACAUUUUAGGUAAGUUUGCCAAAAGUUAUCUUUUAAAUGUAUAUUUAAUUGUAUAUUAUCCACACCUGUAUACCUAAUCUCAAACCAGUUAGCGACAUUAUUCGGAUCGCUAUCGGAGGUAGCUGACGUGUGUUAUGAAUGUCGCAAGGUUAUGAUAGCGAUACGAUAUUUGGCGCUGACUCGUUUGAGGAUAGCCCCUCUGAAUUAUUUUCCAGCAAGGAAUGCCGAAAAUCUGAACAAAACAGGCAACGCCGCGCAGGAUUCUGUUGAAUGGCUGAACACAUCAAACCCGCAGGUGUUGUAUGGAAGCGGGAUGUUCGAAAAUAGCGCACUAGAUGAACAGGAAGUAGGAGAACCAGAGCCUUUGGCAGCAGAAUCAGAGGCCGUUGACGCGACCGAUGGCGAUGGCGAUGUGCUGGAAUACGAUCCAGAUGUGCUGGAAGGCGAAACCGAUAUGGUGGAAGGCGAUAGCGGUGUGCUGGAAGGCGACAGCGAUGCGCUGCUUGGGGGAACCGAUGUAAUACAUGGCGAUGCUGAUGUGCUGCAUGGCGAUGUGCUAGAAUAUAUGGCUGGAUAUAUAAUUCGCAAGCAACAUCUCAGCGAGCACGAAGACACCAGUAACGCAACUUUUACGUGGGUCGAUCAGGUGUCGAAAGGGUACCUUAAAAAGCCUUCACCCCUUUUUGUAGACCGUAUUAGGAGCUUGCAGUCGGUAUUCCUUGCAGUUAAUUUACAGGAAAUAGCGCACUGUAAAAAUAUAAAGCAGCGCCUUCUGAACAAAGCAGCUAACGUAGACCUUCCAGACAGCGUCAAACAGUUUUUCUUAAAUGCCGGAUACUGUUUAGAGUGCGCCACCUAAAUAAACAAUUGAAAGUGAAGAAGGCAAAGCAAAGGCUGAAAUCGUACCCAAUUGAAAUUGAGCAGGCGUACGUCUUAGUACAAGCUUCCAGGCAUUAAACACUGUCAGUACCUACCAUUAUACGUAUUUCCGUAUCACAAUUGGAGUUGUUGUCUGAGCAAAUUCAGUUGAAAGCUCCAUCAUUUGUGGUCACUACCAUCAAUCCAAACAAGCACAUCCACGCGCAUUUAUAUCCAAUGGUGUUUAUUACACCGCCGGAUACUGUUUAGAGUGCGCCACCUAAAUAAACAAUUGAAAGUGGAGAAGACAAAGCAACUGCUGGUACGCUACAAAAAGUUAAAUAAAUUCACUCUUUAAACUGAAAUCGUAUCCAAUUGAAAUUGAGCAGGAAUACGUCUUAGUACAAGCUUCCAGGCAUUAAACACA